rnacentral:rRNA from 1 species
CGAAUGGGGAAACCCAGUGUGAUUCGUCACACUAUCAUUAACUGAAUCCAUAGGUUAAUGAGGCGAACCGGGGGAACUGAAACAUCUAAGUACCCCGAGGAAAAGAAAUCAACCGAGAUUCCCCCAGUAGCGGCGAGCGAACGGGGAGGAGCCCAGAGCCUGAAUCAGCAUGUGUGUUAGUGGAAGCGUCUGGAAAGGUGCGCGAUACAGGGUGACAGCCCCGUACACAAAAGCGCAUGUGCUGUGAGCUCGAUGAGUAGGGCGGGACACGUGGUAUCCUGUCUGAAUAUGGGGGGACCAUCCUCCAAGGCUAAAUACUCCUGACUGACCGAUAGUGAACCAGUACCGUGAGGGAAAGGCGAAAAGAACCCCGGCGAGGGGAGUGAAAAAGAACCUGAAACCGUGUACGUACAAGCAGUGGGAGCACCCUUCGGGGUGUGACUGCGUACCUUUUGUAUAAUGGGUCAGCGACUUAUAUUCUGUAGCAAGGUUAACCGUAUAGGGGAGCCGGAGGGAAACCGAGUCUUAACCGGGCGUUAAGUUGCAGGGUAUAGACCCGAAACCCGGUGAUCUAGCCAUGGGCAGGUUGAAGGUUGGGUAACACUAACUGGAGGACCGAACCGACUAAUGUUGAAAAAUUAGCGGAUGACCUGUGGCUGGGGGUGAAAGGCCAAUCAAACCGGGAGAUAGCUGGUUCUCCCCGAAAGCUAUUUAGGUAGCGCCUCGUGAAUUCAUCUCCGGGGGUAGAGCACUGUUUCGGCUAGGGGGCCAUCCCGGCUUACCAACCCGAUGCAAACUGCGAAUACCGGAGAAUGUUAUCACGGGAGACACACGGCGGGUGCUAACGUCCGUCGUGAAGAGGGAAACAACCCAGACCGCCAGCUAAGGUCCCAAAGUCAUGGUUAAGUGGGAAACGAUGUGGGAAGGCCCAGACAGCCAGGAUGUUGGCUUAGAAGCAGCCAUCAUUUAAAGAAAGCGUAAUAGCUCACUGGUCGAGUCGGCCUGCGCGGAAGAUGUAACGGGGCUAAACCAUGCACCGAAGCUGCGGCAGCGAACGUAUCACCCAAGACAACUUUACGGAGUUGACGAUUGACGGAGCGAAGCGACGUCAAAGCGUUCAUUAAAGUCGAGUUGGCUUAGGGAUACGUUCGUUGGGUAGGGGAGCGUUCUGUAAGCCUGUGAAGGUGUGUCGUGAGGCAUGCUGGAGGUAUCAGAAGUGCGAAUGCUGACAUAAGUAACGAUAAAGCGGGUGAAAAGCCCGCUCGCCGGAAGACCAAGGGUUCCUGUCCAACGUUAAUCGGGGCAGGGUGAGUCGACCCCUAAGGCGAGGCCGAAAGGCGUAGUCGAUGGGAAACGGGUUAAUAUUCCCGUACUUGGUGUUACUGCGAAGGGGGGACGGAGAAGGCUAUGUUGGCCGGGCGACGGUUGUCCCGGUUUAAGCGUGUAGGUGUGUGUUCCAGGUAAAUCCGGUUCACUUUAACACUGAGGCGUGACGACGAGGCACUACGGUGCUGAAGCAACAAAUGCCCUGCUUCCAGGAAAAGCCUCUAAGCAUCAGGUAACACGAAAUCGUACCCCAAACCGACACAGGUGGUCAGGUAGAGAAUACCAAGGCGCUUGAGAGAACUCGGGUGAAGGAACUAGGCAAAAUGGUGCCGUAACUUCGGGAGAAGGCACGCUGACACGUAGGUGAAGUGAUUUACUCAUGGAGCUGAAGUCAGUCGAAGAUACCAGCUGGCUGCAACUGUUUAUUAAAAACACAGCACUGUGCAAACACGAAAGUGGACGUAUACGGUGUGACGCCUGCCCGGUGCCGGAAGGUUAAUUGAUGGGGUCAGCGCAAGCGAAGCUCCUGAUCGAAGCCCCGGUAAACGGCGGCCGUAACUAUAACGGUCCUAAGGUAGCGAAAUUCCUUGUCGGGUAAGUUCCGACCUGCACGAAUGGCGUAAUGAUGGCCAGGCUGUCUCCACCCGAGACUCAGUGAAAUUGAACUCGCUGUGAAGAUGCAGUGUACCCGCGGCAAGACGGAAAGACCCCGUGAACCUUUACUAUAGCUUGACACUGAACAUUGAGCCUUGAUGUGUAGGAUAGGUGGGAGGCUUUGAAGUGUGGACGCCAGUCUGCAUGGAGCCGACCUUGAAAUACCACCCUUUAAUGUUUGAUGUUCUAACGUGGACCCGUAAUCCGGGUUGCGGACAGUGUCUGGUGGGUAGUUUGACUGGGGCGGUCUCCUCCUAAAGAGUAACGGAGGAGCACGAAGGUUGGCUAAUCCUGGUCGGACAUCAGGAGGUUAGUGCAAUGGCAUAAGCCAGCUUGACUGCGAGCGUGACGGCGCGAGCAGGUGCGAAAGCAGGUCAUAGUGAUCCGGUGGUUCUGAAUGGAAGGGCCAUCGCUCAACGGAUAAAAGGUACUCCGGGGAUAACAGGCUGAUACCGCCCAAGAGUUCAUAUCGACGGCGGUGUUUGGCACCUCGAUGUCGGCUCAUCACAUCCUGGGGCUGAAGUAGGUCCCAAGGGUAUGGCUGUUCGCCAUUUAAAGUGGUACGCGAGCUGGGUUUAGAACGUCGUGAGACAGUUCGGUCCCUAUCUGCCGUGGGCGCUGGAGAACUGAGGGGGGCUGCUCCUAGUACGAGAGGACCGGAGUGGACGCAUCACUGGUGUUCGGGUUGUCAUGCCAAUGGCACUGCCCGGUAGCUAAAUGCGGAAGAGAUAAGUGCUGAAAGCAUCUAAGCACGAAACUUGCCCCGAGAUGAGUUCUCCCUGAGACUUAGAGUCUCCUGAAGGAACGUUGAAGACGACGACGUUGAUAGGCCGGGUGUGUAAGCGCAGCGAUGCGUUGAGCUAACCGGUACUAAUGAACCGUGAGGCUUAACCUU